AGCCUGAUGCAGCGACGCCGCGUGAGGGANGACGGCCUUCGGGUUGUAAACCUCUUUCAGUAGGGAAGAAGCGUAAGUGACGGUACCUGCAGAAGAAGCGCCGGCUAACUACGUGCCAGCAGCCGCGGUAAUACGUAGGGCGCAAGCGUUAUCCGGAAUUAUUGGGCGUAAAGAGCUCGUAGGCGGUUUGUCGCGUCUGCUGUGAAAGACCGGGGCUCAACUCCGGUUCUGCAGUGGGUACGGGCAGACUAGAGUGCAGUAGGGGAGACUGGAAUUCCUGGUGUAGCGGUGAAAUGCGCAGAUAUCAGGAGGAACACCGAUGGCGAAGGCAGGUCUCUGGGCUGUAACUGACGCUGAGGAGCGAAAGCAUGGGGAGCGAACAGGAUUAGAUACCCUGGUAGUCCAUGCCGUAAACGUUGGGCACUAGGUGUGGGGGACAUUCCACGUUUUCCGCGCCGUAGCUAACGCAUUAAGUGCCCCGCCUGGGGAGUACGGCCGCAAGGCUAAAACUCAAAGGAAUUGACGGGGGCCCGCACAAGCGGCGGAGCAUGCGGAUUAAUUCGAUGCAACGCGAAGAACCUUACCAAGGCUUGACAUGAACCGGAAAGACCUGGAAACAGGUGCCCCGCUUGCGGUCGGUUUACAGGUGGUGCAUGGUUGUCGUCAGCUCGUGUCGUGAGAUGUUGGGUUAAGUCCCGCAACGAGCGCAACCCUCGUUCUAUGUUGCCAGCGGUUCGGCCGGGGACUCAUAGGAGACUGNCGGGGUCAACUCGGAGGAAGGUGGGGACGACGUCAAAUCAUCAUGCCCCUUAUGUCUUGGGCUUCACGCAUGCUACAAUGGCCNGUACAANGGGUUGCGAUACUGUGAGGUGGAGCUAAUCCCAAAAAGCCGGUCUCAGUCGGAUUGGGGNCUGCAACUCGACCCCNUGAANUCGGA
rnacentral:rRNA from 1 species